GUGGAUGUUGAUAAUGAACGGCAACAGUUCCUUAGUGGGGAGAGAGAGAGAGUUGUAGAAAGUGGUCGACUGAGGCAACUGCAAGUUUUGAAGAAUCCUGCGUUUCUCUUCUUCUCUACAGAGGAAUCAUCCAUUGAAAGAUUAAAUGGGAUCUGUCAAUUAAUAUCAGACCGUCUGAAUCCGUCUGAUCCUCGUGAGCCGCAGAGGCCGAGAAGUCCGACCCACGUUUGACUGUGUCAAAAUCCAUUUAGGAGCCCAGAAGCAGUUGACUGACAACUUUAAACAACAACUCCUCUCUAUUGAACUCCUCUGCCCAAGUGCUACCUGCACUCUUUGGGCAUUUUCACGCCUGAAAGUCUGGUCCAUCGUUCAAUGUCUGUGGUGGUUCAAUGUCUGUGGUGGUUUCAGAUUAUAAUUUAGAGGGUGGUCUUCAGACUUUUGUAUGACAUGUGUACGUCCUGUUGGUGUCACCUAUGUGGGCUGCGUCUACCUGUACUUGGCGUUGUUUGGUUAGUGUCUGACAUGGAUGUGUUUAUUGUCAUGGAAAUUAUUGAAUCUAACUGUGAUCCCGGAAAUGUAACAGAUCCUCCUGUGCUAACAGCUAUGCUCAAAGUUCAGUUGGAUUGACCUGAUGAAACAUCAUUAUAUAAAUUCCACUUAAUGUUUGCAUCUGCCUGAUAUCAGGAAAUGUUAGUUACCUUGAGCCUAAAUGCCCUUGUGACUAUUUGAUGUUUUGCUGAAUGUCUAUACACUCAGGAGAUAGGGGGGCAUCUACCCCUUGGCUUACAAAGUCUGACCACUGGACACGUCCUGCCUACAUGAUAUCGAAGGAUGACGUGAACCCUUGAGCUGUGCAUAAAGCUGGCACAUCUCCUGUCACCCGUUGUCAGAAUCUUGAUACCUGCAGUGGUGUUGGAGAUUCUGUCCCGCUUGGCCAAGUGUUUGCUCAGUAACUCUGUCUGUGUUCAAAUCUAUUCUCUGUAAAUUGUUU